rnacentral:rRNA from 1 species
UACGAAGGGGGCUAGCGUUGCUCGGAAUCACUGGGCGUAAAGCGCACGUAGGCGGAUCUUUAAGUCAGGGGUGAAAUCCUGGAGCUCAACUCCAGAACUGCCUUCGAUACUGGCGAUCUUGAGUCCGGAAGAGGUGAGUGGAACUCCUAGUGUAGAGGUGGAAUUCGUAGAUAUUAGGAAGAACACCAGUGGCGAAAGGCGGCUCACUGGUCCGGUACUGACGCUGAGGUGCGAAAGCGUGGGGAGCAAACAGG